GAGCUUGUAGCUCAGCUGGAAGAGCGCUGGCCUUCUAAGCCAGAGGUCGAGGGUUCAAAUCCCUCCAAGCUCG
rnacentral:tRNA from 2 species